rnacentral:rRNA from 1 species
GCACUGCCCGGUAGCUAAAUGCGGAAGAGAUAAGUGCUGAAAGCAUCUAAGCACGAAACUUGCCCCGAGAUGAGUUCUCCCUGAGACUUUAAGUCUCCUGAAGGAACGUUGAAGACGACGACGUUGAUAGGCCGGGUGUGUAAGCGCAGCGAUGCGUUGAGCUAACCGGUACUAAUGAACCGUGAGGCUUAACCUU